UCCGUAUGUAUAAGUUGUUUUUGAUGAUAGGAUAUUUGAUUCGACGAUCGGCUCCGUUAAGAAUAAUUUACAGUACUAUUAACAUUAUUUAGAAACAAAAUUUUAUAAUUUUUCGACAUCAUUUACCAAGUAAUCAAAAGAUCUCAAAAAUAGCUAUUUUAACGGUUGAUCUGGCAUGUUUUUAAGUUCAACGGUAUAGAACAAUUCAAAUUAUAUGAAACUUUAAUAGAAAAUUCUAUUUAACAUCAAUAGUAAGAACAACACUUCUGAUUUGAAAUUAUAGUUUUUUAUUAUUAUUUUUGUGAGAUUUUUAUUUUUAGCCGUUUAUUUUGAGACUAUUCGUUUAUUAGAUAAAUAAAGUCAAAAAAUUAUAAAAUUUGGUUUCUAGAUAGUUCUAAUAGCGUAAAUUAUAUCUAACAAAGCCGAUUGCUGAAUCGGACGUCUAAUCAUCAAAAACAACUUACAAGUAUGGAGCUUUUCUUACUUUCAAAAGCAUAAGAGCCUAGCGUGCUCUCUCUCUCUUAAAUCCUAAACACUCUCUCUCUCUCUCUCUCUCUCUCUCUCUAUAUAUAUAUAUAAUAUGUAUAUAUGACCAUGAAAUAUAUAGCAAAUAACUCAUCCAAAAAACAAA
rnacentral:lncRNA from 1 species